rnacentral:misc_RNA from 1 species
AACCAUAGAAACCUGCGGAGUACCUGCGGAGGGAUCAUUACCGAGUGAGGGCCCUCCGGGUCCAACCUCCCACCCGUGUUUAACGAACCUUGUUGCUUCGGCGGGCCCGCCUCACGGCCGCCGGGGGGCACCCCGCCCCCGGGCCCGCGCCCGCCGAAGACACCUGUGAACGCUGUCUGAAGUUGCAGUCUGAGACACUAGCUCAAUCAGUUAAAACUUUUAACAACGGAUCUCAGAUCG